GUUGAUUUCUCAAGUGCAAUCAAGUAUUUAUUGUGACACUUAUUUUGACGUUUGCUUAUGUUUGUGAAUAGUUGACAAUUUUUCCCCAGUCUUGAAAAAGCACCCAUGUUCCAAGAUCUGCAGCCAAUCCUGUGCUUCCUCAUUGUGCAUGUGGGUGGACAGUGCUUCCAUGUCCUCACUGGCCCUUGUCCUGACCUGCUGUGCCCACUCACACUUCCAGGAAAUGGAAUAAUCUUUCUCAGGGCUGAUGGCUUUUUGUUGGUGGAAAGAAAGGAAAUAUAGAGGAGAGAAGCUAAGAAGCAAUAAUACAUCUAUAAUUCAAAGGAUUUAGAUAAGUAAAAGAAAUACUUUUGGAAAUAAUUGCUGAAUGUGUUGCUGAUGAGAUUCUAGGACCUCUAUCGGUAGAGCCCUUUGAAGUUAGGAGCUGCUGAAAUGAGGUUUGCCAGGGGAGCCAGAGUGUGGCCCUUGGCCUUUGCUGGUGACAUGGCAAGCACAACUCUCUGGCCAUCUCUGGUUAGUCUAUUUGGGGCUUCACAAGCUCCCUCCACUGACUGCAUUGUCACCUCAUUUGUUUUUACCAUUAAAUGCUUGAGAUGAGAAGUGAAGACCAAGAACAGCCUAUCUGCAGGCCAGGGAAAGAUUUCAUUCAUUGUGAAGAAUAAACCCAUAUGAAAAGUUUUCUCCAAACACUUCCUGGGGUCAGGGUACUCAUUAACAAAGAAGUCUGUGUGACAGAAAUUAUGCAUCUGGUUCUAUAAGGUGCUUCAGCUUUGCCUGGUUGAGUUGCUGUGGAGUUAAUCCCAAGAUAAGGAGAAAAGAUGCUGACCUAUUUUUACUAGGAUUAACUCCUCAAACAGCUAUUAUAGGUGAACAAAUGCCCGAUCCAUUUCCAUGCGUGAACACCCAUCUGGGCACUGAUGAGGCCAGAAGACCUCCGCUGAGUUGUAGUCGGGGAGCAGCGAGGGUUGCGUCUUUCAGAGGCCUGUGGCACCACUACAAGGACCCAUUCACCAGGCAAGGAGUCCCAGGAGUUGGUUUCAGAUGCCUGUCAGGAAUCUGUUCAAAGAUAAUAAAGAAGGAAGAUUUCUGCUAGUUUCUAUUUGGGACAAAAGGUCAUAACUGAGAGGUGGGGGCAACAGGAGACAGCAUGAGGUACAUGCUUCUAGAGAAUAAACCCCUCCAUCAGCAGAGAGCUGAAUGUGCUGCAUGGAGUAUAACACAGUGACUCAGCAAGUCCAAGGCUUCCAAAAGGAGCUUCCCACUCUAUCACUGACGCAGUUACUGGGUUCCCUACAGAAUUUAGAAAUAAGAAAAGAUAUAUGUUUGUUAAGUUGUAAAACUGUUAAUAUGUAGUCUAUUAAAAUGAUUUUUAUUAAUUUCUUUGUUCUAUGUUUAUACAUAUGCUUUAGUCACAGUAUGUCGAUUUGCAUUUUUUAAUGUGCAGAAGGUCUAGUGAAAAGAGAGCAGGGGCUCCAGAUACUUCGAGGUGGUCAGUACAGGAUUUGUGCAUGUGCAUGUAUUUUUGGGAGUGUAUUAGUCCAUUCUCACACUGAUGUUAAGAAAUACCUGAGACCGGGCAAUUUAUAAAGGAAAGAAGUUUAAUUGUCUCACAGUUCCACAUCUCUGGGGAGGCCUCAGGAAACUUGCAAUCAUGGUGGAAGGCAAAGGAAAAGCAGGCAUCUUCUUCACAAGGUGGCAGGAUAGAGUGAGUACAAGCAGGGAAAAUGCCAGAUGCUUAUAAAACCAUCAAAUCUCGUGAGAACUAACUCACUAUCAUGAGAACAGGAUGGGAGAAACCACUCCCAUGAUCCAAUUACCUCCCACCAGGUCCCUCCUAUGACACCUGGGGAUUACUAUAAUUCAAGAUGAGAUUUGGGUGGGGACACAAAGCCAAACUAUAUCAUUCUACCCUGACCUCUCCCAAAUCUCAUUUCUUCACAUUUCAAAACCAAUCAUGCCUUCCCAAGAGUGCCCCAAAAUCUUAACUCAUUUCAGCAAUAACCCAAAGUCCACAGUCCAAAGUCUCAUCUGAGACAAGGCAAGUCCCUUCCAUAUAUAAGCCUGUAAAAUCAAAAGCAAGUUAGUUACUUCUUAGAUACAAAGGGGGUACAGGCAUUGGAUAAAUGCUCCCAUUCCAAAUGGGAGAAAUUGGCCAAAACAAAAGGGCUACAGGCCCCAUGCAAACUCAAAAUCUAUUAGGGCAGUCCUUAAACCUUAAAGUUCAAAAAUGCUCUCCUUUGACUCCAUGUCUCGCAUCCCGGUCACACU
ensembl:lncRNA